GAUGAACGCUGGCGGCGUGCUUAACACAUGCAAGUCGAACGGAAAGGCCGAAGCUUGCUUCGGUACUCGAGUGGCGAACGGGUGAGUAACACGUGGGUGAUCUGCCCUGUACUUCGGGAUAAGCUUGGGAAACUGGGUCUAAUACCGGAUAUGACGAUCUCUUGGAUGGGGUUGUGGAAAGCUUUUGCGGUAUGGGAUGAGCUCGCGGCCUAUCAGCUUGUUGGUGGGGUAAUGGCCUACCAAGGCGUCGACGGGUAGCCGGCCUGAGAGGGUGUACGGCCACAUUGGGACUGAGAUACGGCCCAGACUCAUACGGGAGGCAGCAGUGGGGAAUAUUGCCCAAUGGGCGCAAGCCUGAUGCAGCGACGCCGCGUGGGGGAUGACGGCCUUCGGGUUGUAAACUCCUUUCGCAAUCGACGAAGCCUUUUGGUGACGGUAGGUUGAGAAGAAGCACCGGCUAACUACGUG
rnacentral:rRNA from 1 species